UGUUUGUGUUAUAGUGAAUCCCCGAGUGACAGAUGGUUGGUUAAAAUAUUUAUUGCUGGACAGAACGAAGUAUCAAUGUUUAAAAAAUUAUUGAAAAAAUGAGAAAACGUCAUAAUAACCCGAUAUGGAAAAUUCUAGGUCAGAAACAAAACGCUUUCUUUAAUUUGGAAGAAAAACUGCAUGGAGAGAAUUCAGAAAUAUGGCUGCACAGGCGUGAGCAUAUGCCGGCUUGUGGUUGAUGAUGAUCAUUAGUUAUUACAUCACUCGGAAAAGGUUAUCGAGUGUAUAUACCGAAAGCUCGAAAAACUUUUUGUCAGAAUACCAUGCGAAAAGAAUUGGUUCCAGCUGUUACCGAUGUUUUCCUCAUUCUGGCAGCCUAUACCGACUGCAGUCAAAAGUUAGUCAUGGUCUUAUUUUUUUUUUUCAACCAUUUCACUUCAAGGACACGCAGUAGUCUUGAAGUUUAUUUCUUUUUUAUUUCGUUUUUCUUCAGUUUUAUAUAAAUUUAGUCUGCUUUCGUAAACCAUCAUUCAUGGAAGUCCUAUUUCCUGCUCGGUAUCUUUACUGACAAGACAAUGGAAGUCAGAUACUUUGUUUUCUGUUAUUGUACACGAAGCAUUCAGUCAUUCAGUAUAGCAUGGUAGACAUGAGUCAAUUUUAGGUUCGUGCGAGUCGUUAUCAUCACGCGAUAAUAUGUUUGUUUGAGCAGAAUUUAUAUCUCACAAGUAAACGUUUCUUUUAGGUCCCGAUACGGAAGCAAAUGUUUCUGAUCACUCCAACACAUUCUCCGGUAUUAUGUUUGAAAUUUUGCAAACAACAAGUCCCUUUACUGGAGUGAAGUGAUAAUAUGCGUUAUAAAAAAUUUGUAGUUACUUCAAUUUCUAUUCGCUAAUAAAAUGUUUAUUUACAUAUUA